rnacentral:misc_RNA from 1 species
GACAUCGCCGGGGAGGUGACACGGUCGCAACUAGAGCUCUCGAUUCCCUCCAAUCCCGCCCGCCGAGCCUUCGUGAGCUUCUCCAUUCCGCCCGGGCAGCCGGCCAUGAUCGACCUCCACGACGUGCGUGGCCGGCGCAUCGACUCACGGCGGGCCGAGCCCGGCACUUCGGGAAGUGCCGCACUAGGAAAUGGAGCUCUUCGCGCCGGGAUGUACUUCGUGCGGGUCCGACAGGGCCGCGAAAGCGUCGUCCGGAAGCUCGUCAUCGAGCCCUGAAUCUGUAUCGCCGAAGCCGAAGGAACCGAGCCCACAUCGCCCCGCCCGGCGCGAAUGGUAUUCUUCAGCUUUCCCCCAUCGAAAAGACCGCAACCCAGGA